UUCCGGAGCAAAGCUAAAAUGGUGAAGACCAGACUGCAACUCUCUUUCUCUUUCUGGUUCUUUUAGAGAAAUGCUUAGGGUUGUCUAAAUAUCCAACGAAUCCAAUUUUUGAAUGACUGAAACAUUUUAAUUUCUAGCAGCGGAUCCUAUUAGUUUGCACCGCACGGAACCAGUGAGUUGCAGACGGAAGCAAAAUCUGUCAACAAACAUUUCUUUUGUAACAGUAUGUGCGAAACCAAGACGUACUAAGCUCAGAUAUGUUUAAAAACACAUUCCAGAGCGGAUUUUUGUCCAUUUUAUACAGUAUCGGCAGCAAACCGCUUCAAAUAUGGGACAAAAAGGUGAGGAAUGGUCACAUCAAGAGAGUCCCGGACAAUGACAUCCACUCAAAUGUGUUAGAGGUUGAGGGAGCCAAUGUCAGCACCACCUAUAUUACAUGUCCUGCAGACCCCAAGAAGACACUGGGCAUCAAACUUCCUUUUCUGAUCAUGAUCAUUAAAAACCUCAAGAAAUACUUCACGUUUGAAGUUCAGGUGUUGGAUGACAAAAACGUUCGGCGGCGAUUUCGGGCGAGUAACUAUCAGAGCACGACCAGAGUGAAGCCGUUUAUCUGCACCAUGCCCAUGAGGCUGGAUGACGGCUGGAACCAGAUUCAGUUCAACCUGUCAGACUUCACCAGGAGGGCCUAUGGAACCAAUUAUACGGAGACGCUGCGUGUACAGAUUCAUGCUAACUGUCGUAUAAGGAGGGUGUAUUUCUCAGACAGACUGUACGCUGAGGAUGAGCUCCCAGCAGAGUUUAAGCUCUACCUGCCUGUCCAGAACCAGAAGGCCAAGCAGUAGAGCCUCUCAACCUGCACUGUUCCCUCAGAUGUGAUGUAGAUUUGCUGCUGGUGUGCAGGAGAAUGUGCGUUUGUCCAGUGCUAUGUAUUGCUGCCAUAGUGAAUGACGUAGUAGUCAUGGACAUACAUCAACACGGCGACAGGCUGUCCAAUGAUGAGAGACAUCCACACGGCUGCGUUGCCAUAGUUUCCAUUCAGGAAGCGACCCACAAACCAAGCCAGAGGAACCUGAAGGCGUUAAAAGGUCAGACGUCGUGUGUAAAAGUUUGGAGAGAGCAGAGAUGAGAGAGAAUGAAAGAAAUGAUGGAUUCAAUGCGUCUUACCUGAGCCAUCAUUCCCAUGAAAGCCCACAGUCUGAACAUCUUCAGAGGAACACUAACGAGGUACUGCAGAAAGAAAAGACGACGCAAUCAGGCUGACAGUGACAGAUGUGCAUUUUCUUCCACAGUGAAACAUAGUCAAGCAUUUUUCUGAAGGAGUCUGUUUGACAUACAGAAAUAAAAAUAACAAUCAGAGCAGUUCAAUUAUAAGACACAUUGACGUGGAGACUGAAUUCUGUUAGUUUACCUCAUGGAAGAAAGCAGAAAUCAGAAAGACAGCAGUCUGAGCCAGAAACUUGUUGAUCCCAGUCCUCAACAGUGGCUUAUAGAAAUGCCUGUAAAACAUAAAGAUAGCAAAAAUACUUUAUUAGUAAGUUGACUCAGAUCUGACAACAAGUGUCAGUCAGCACCUGUAUUACUUCACUGUUGUUUUUUAUUAAUCAGACUUCAAUCAGAAGGAGAAGGCAAAACAUCAAAUACAGUUGAAAAUGCUAAAACAACUCAUUGUAACAGGACUGGGGCACACCUCAGGCACCACUUGUGCACUGGGAUGUUCCAGUUGGCCCAGAAAUACGUGACCGUCUCAGAGUUCCUGAAAAGAACAAGAAUAGAACAGUUUGAGAACCGAUUAUUGGGUGUUCUGAAAGAAUUCAGACACGUUUGAAAUGAAGGUUUUAUUUUGAUCCAAGUUUGAGCGACUUCAAAUGCAGAAAACAUGGAAGUGCGUGUCAAGUAACACUCACCACCAGUCCUUGUAAAACUCCCUGUCUCCAAACUGCAUCAGCUCUGCCACGAAGUUCAUGGAGGAGUGGAAAAACCAGUAGAAGAAGAUUAACCAUAUCAGAUGGUUAGGAACCUAGGAAAGGAAAGGAAAGGAAAGGAAAGGAAAGGAAAGGAAAGGAAAGGAGUCUGGGUUGGUAAACUAUGGUUGCCGCUCAUGGAAUAACAUUUCUUUGUGAUAAAACCUUAAUACACAGAUGAGACAACAAUCACAGCUAAGGUCAACACCAGGGUAAGGGGAUCAGGUCAUAUGUGGGUUAAAGGUUUACGCUCUGUGAAGUUCUAAAAAGUCUCUGAUGAGCAUCCAGCGUAGCUUUCACAUGAUACUUACAGCAAGUUUCAGCAGGCGUUCCACCAUCCUACCAAAGUCCAUUUCCUUUGAGACAGAAGGAAAAAAACUAAAUUAAGUUGUUAUAAUAAGACUUCACCAAUUACAUACAGUUUACAAUUUCUUCCUGACUUUGCCUUUUCUGUUCAUUUACUGAGACACGACUGGCUGAAGUUUGUGUGAAUUUAACAUAUGGUAGAAGUUCUUAGUGUGGCUGUAAAAAAAGUGGCCAAAUUAGAAUGAUAGCAUAGUUGAAGCUCUUCUUUGUAUAGAGUGCAAUGUGCAUAAAUACAGCAUACCCACCUGGAAUGGUUUCAUUGAGUUCUGGAUAGUGGGAACCAUCCACUGAAAGACACACACUUGAGUUACAGAUUUUGUGAAACACAGAGGACCAGAAAUAGCUCUCUGUAGAAUAUUUUUGCUGUAAUAUGUAAAUCUAAUUAUGUAAAUCUUGAACAAACCUGCUGUAUUAAUCCCACCAACAACUGCAUUAAAAAAAUCUGCAACAAAGAGCAAGUUAUGAUUGAAACGAAACAUUCAUGCACGUCUCAUCUUGCCUGUGUUUGUUAUUCAUUUCCUACCAUCUUAAUUAGGUAAUUGACUGACAUGUCGAGACAGUAUUUGUCUGUGCUUGUUCUCACCAUCUCAAAAAGUCUUCUCAUCAGGAACCUUUUGCGUAUUCGAGGAGACCGUGGGAAGUUGAGCUGGUAGCAGAGAGUUGGUGCAAAGACGAAGUAGUACAUGUCUGCAAACAGAUGUUUAAAAAGUCAAGUCAGGCUGUUAUUCAGAUGUAAGUGCAUGCACUAGUGCAAGUACGUUUGAUUUAGAAAGUUUAAUAACCAGAUUCAUCUUCAUUUUAAAUCAAAAACUAGACCAAACUUUGUCAUUAUAUGCCCUUGAGAUAGCUGGUAUUUACAGGACUACUAAGCGACUGUGUUGGUCCAGUAAAUUAUUCUGACAUUAUAAUACAAAAAAUAAAAGUACUUUAUUUAUAUAGCAAGUAUCUCCCUGUGCUGUUUGGCUUCACGUGUCUGCAUGGUUACCUCUGUGUGUGAGGUUUCCUGGGUAGGAGACGUGAGUCUGAACCGCUGACCCAUUGGACUGUGCCACAGAGGGACCUGAAAAAGACAAGCAUAGAGAUGUCCAACUUUUUAAAUUUCAAGCAUUGUGCAGUGGUCAUCAUGUUGCAUAAAAUCCUCUGGCUUAAAAUAGCUCCAAACCACACACUGGGGUGCAGCUGUUAACGGUUAACUUUGAUCCAAAUCCCUGUGGGUGCCGGAAACUGCAGUUCACUAUGCCACCACUUGAUGGUGGUAGCAGCACAGUAAUGAAAUCAAAUGAAAUGAAAUCAAAUCCUACUAAAUGUGCAAAACCGUGUGUGUGAAUCAUGCUUUAAUCUAUUCACUGAAGUAUGAGCUGUUUUUUGACCUUAGUUGAGAUGAUUUAACAGCCCCUGAGUGCGUGUUCAUACACUUACAUGAAUAUGAUCGUGACAGUCUUUUGGCUUUGGCUUGUCUGAUUUCUCUGCACCACCUGUUGGCGUCUUUGUAAGAGUACAUCUUGAGAAACAGCAUUGAGUAGAUCCCUAGAGACAGCACACCACCCACUGACACACACACACACACACAGACAGGCAAGGCAUUAGCUAAGUGCAUUAAAUAAUAUAACAGAUGAAAGGGGUGCGUGUGUGUACCAAUGGAAAUUAAACUCCUGGCUCAGUCAGUCGACAUCAGUUCUCAUUAUAUUACAACUUCUGAAGCAGCACACUCGUAGUGUUUGUGUUAGCAUCUUAAAACACAUGCAGUAGCUCCAAUCAAAGAUACUACAUGCAACAUAUACUGUGCAUAAAACAUAUAAUCGUGUAUUCAUACAGUAUGUACCUGGAGUCAUGGACGUCAUAACAAGUACUGUGGCUGCAGGAAUGACCAACAAACAUGUCAGGAUAAAAAUGUGAAAAAUGAGUCCUGUAGUUUCAGAGAUGGUGCCCUAGAAAGGACGAAAGAAAAACAGAAAAGUGCAUUAUUAGUGUAAAACAUUUUAUUUAUUGAUACGCCUCCACGGUUUUACCUUUAAAGAAACUGUGCAACACCAUUCUGCACAUGCCGAUUAGAAUUAAAAUAUUGCAUCUGUCAGAAAUGUUGUGGAUUUCAUCCAAUCUAAUCUUGAUCGACAGCGGUGUUCUUAUCAAAGUUAGCAGGGCAGGAAUGAAAAGGUGCGCUGCUGAGAUGGUCAAUGUACUUUAGAGACUCCACCAAAUGUAAAAUACAGAUUUCAACCAAACACGAGAUCCCCAAACAAACCUUAUAUUCAAACUCACUCUCUUAACAGUGGUAAAAAAGAUAAGUAAAACCAAAUCAACACAUCAGCAAACUGAUGUUCAAAAGUCCACCAGUUAUUUUCGGUCACAGUCUAAAUGAAAAUUUGUGUGACUUUGUAAAACCUCAGCACAUUAUUGUAAGGACUUACCACAGCAAGACGCCUCUCAGUGUGCAAGGCUGCUAGGAUGAACACAUUGGACACUAAAACACAGAACAGAGAGGCAGAUUCAUGAGCUAAAGAAGCACAAGGAUGUUUAAUACACUGCUAAGUAUUUUCUGUGAGCCAUCUUUGAGCAUCUGGCCCAUUAAUAAAUUAUAUCAUACUGAAUCAGAUCAGCCUUUUGUGGGAUGGAGAAGCUGUCAAACACUGUUUAUUACUGUCAAACAACAACUAAAUAAUCAAAUGUGGAAAAAAAACACAGUUACAACACGAGUUUGUUCAGUUCAUGGUCGGGUCACAUAAGAUGAAAUGGCUGUUUAGAUCUCUAAAUGAAAGGAAAGCAGUAAAAUGAAAAGCCCAUACCAAUUAUUAGGCAAGCUGCUGGCCAGCUAUAUGGGUCCUUUAAGAAGAGAGACACUACUUGGAUAGGGUCUACCAAGAUGCCAUACCUGGAGGAGAAGUGGAAUUAGUAUUACUGAUCCCUGUAGGAAUAGCUUCAACAUAAAGCUAGAUUAAUGGCUACAGUGUGUUUAGGUGAAGGUUAGAGGUUGGUGCAGUGAGAUAAAGGUUUGGUGUGAUAUUUUCUCCAUGGACGUUCAGCGAGGAAACAAAGUGCACGUCAAAUUCACCUAUCUCAUGUCUAAAAAGAACAUCUGCACUGUAACGAUGAUUUUACUUUCAGACGUUCGUACUUUUCUUGAUGACAUGACACUGCUCUUGUUGACAAAAUGAAUCCAGUGUAAUAAAAUAUAACUAAGCUGCUUUCAGGUGCCCAUCAUAAAACUGUAAUAGAGGUGAGAAGUGGUGAAAGAUGAGGGGUGAGCUGGAUAACUGUAUGGGAGUGGAUUGUAAAAGCAGCUGCCUGUGUAUAUACUGAAAAUUAUAUAAAUGUAGGUUUGUGUGUGUAGGUGGACACUUACUUUAUAAUGUUCUCCAAGAAGAGGCGUGCAUUACUCAGCACCUGAGACAGAACACAAAACAUCCAAGAGGAGCUAAUGAGAUGCUGUUCAACAGAAGUCAUGCAAAAGAAAUAUUUAAAAACACCCUAGAUUUUAAGGAUUGUUUUGUAUCUGACUAUUCACUGAAUCUGGCCAUCGUUUGGUGGUGAAAACUGGCUUAUCACUUCUGCUUGUGAUUAACCAGCAGGUUCAAGUGUGUUUGUUUGUGCCGAGUCACUUGAUAUUCAGAAAAGGAACAGGAAACCAGCUUUGGCUUUACAAGGACACGAAGUUGCUGCCCACAGACACACAGGUAAACACAGCCACUCUCAUGCAGAGGAAUUAUCAAAGAUAAUCUGUUUGCAAAGUUCACAUUUGUGUCACACCUGAAAUUAGCAGCAUGUUCCUGCUGCCAUCACACCUUGUUGCUGCAUACUCUGGUUAAAAAAAAGUGUCAGGUAAAGUAACUUGCUGAUUGUAUUGUGUAUUUCAGUUCAAAGUCUGAGUCCAGCCUGAUCUCUGUCACCAGCUAUCUGAUCUUCUGUGAGGUAAAACCCACACAAUGAACUCAGUUUCAAAACAGUAUUUAUAGUGUGCAUACAUUUUUAGAUAAUUUUUAUGGCAGUCAUGCUCAGCGUCAGAAACACAGUUCAGAUAAGCAGAACCGUUAGGAUAUGACUUAUGAUUAGGUGUAUUACAGUGAUAAUACCCAUUGGUUUGCCAAGACCCUGCAGCAAUGUGGUUGUGAUUCAACUAUGUCUGUUGUCCAAACUGGUAACCUUUGUCUCAGUAACCUUCAGCAUGAACAGGAGAGAGCCGUCAUUUACAACACAGCAAAUAGGACAGUGGUCUCUAUGGACCAGUUAUGCAUAGAGAGCGUUGCAUUAUCUGAUUCUGCCAUAUUUCAACAGUACCAGUUUGUUUUCUAUCAUCCCUGUCCACUGAAAGGUCACCGUCUGAUGUUAGAUAUGGAGCAACACCCCAGGAGGUUGAAGGACCAAAGACACUUCAACUGGAGCAGCAUGCAUUCCUGCAGCUGAUGAUCCUGGUUAUCAAGAACAAACUACACAAAUGCUGCAUGACUCAAUUCUUACAAAACACUGGCUAAUCAUGGUGAGUCAACUCAUGAUUAAUACAGAAAAGACAGAGUUUGGGCUUACUGAGCAACAUGGUAAAAUGUGUCAAUUUUCACAAAUCACACAUUUUACUCAUGCAGCUUUGAAGUGUCAAGGACCCACCAAGCUGCAUGUAUUCAUUCAGAUAUUCUAGCAUUGCUACUAACUUACUGUACUUAUCAAAACUGAUGAAUUGAUUUACUACACCAAUUCUAGCUGUAGGAGUCAGAAAUGAAUUGUUCUAUUUGUAAGAUUAAAGGGUAUAUUAAUUGUU